CUCUGCUCAUGACGAUGCCUCUCGAGGAUGAUCUAGCCUCAGCAGCCGCAACUGGCAACACCAAUCGUGUUAAAAUUCUAUUACAAAGUGGAGUGGACGUCAACGGUGUAAACUGCUUUGGACGGACACCUCUGCAGGCCCUGUGGACAACUGCAUACCGGUGACUCAACCUCAGCUGGCAGGACUCACACCGGAGGCUGGCAGGCUCACAGCGAGGGAAGGCGUAGAUAGGGCGGAAGGAUGUGGCGAGAGGGUGUGCAACAGGAGGGGGAAGGAGGGGGAGGGGUGGCCAGGAGGUCAGCUGCAGGAACUAGGAAGGGGAAGCUGAGCCUCCCCCAGACAUAAUUUAUCAACUGGAUGGUGGGUGACAGUCACUCACUCGGAAGCUGUUGUGUGUGCGCGCAUGUAUGUGGUACUUCAGAGUGAUAUAAUAAUCAGGCGGAAGAAUUAGAAACGUGCUGACGAGGAGGAAAUUUAUACCAGACAAAAUGUCAUUGUGCAAUUUCAAAUCCCGAAAAAUACUAUUUGCAUUUGUUUUGCUACAGCUUUGUGACAAAGGCAUGUGACUAUUUAGUUAUUAACAUGAGACAUUUUGAAUUCCUGCUUUGUUUAUGUACGAAUAUAAAUGCAUUUAAAUCAGAUUGAGUCGACCUCUAGGUCAGUGUGACAGCUGGAGUACACGUAGAGAGCCGUAAAACGGAACGGUCACUUCAGCCCUCAUGUCACGGACGUUUUAGACACACUACCAAACAAUGGCUCUUACUGAUGGAGAAGUGACUAACUACACACACAGGAUAUUAAGGAAAAAAGGCUAGUUCUCAUUUCAGGGAGAAAUCGUUCUAUGAAAAGUGUUCAUGGAAUUCACUGACGGUGACCUCUAACCUACAUUUGAUUUGACUCUAAAUACCACGUGAGGCUAAAUGUCAGGUCACCUUGUCAAGAAUGUGGUGGAAAAGUCCAGAGCCCUGAGAAAUUGAAACAAUGAAAGCAGUAAGUGUUUUACUGUGGUAAAAAUAAAAAGCUCUGACGCAUUUCAGUUCUUAGUCACUAAUUUUUUGCCUAAUAAUGCAGUUGGAAAUGUCCAACUGCUGUGAAAGCGGAUGUAAGACAUAUUACCAAGUAACAAGACAAUUGACCACAUGCAGUACAUGAACGCGUCAUCUUAGUGAAACGGGUGCAUUUGCAUAACAAUUUUCCAGAUAACCUGUGUUGUUGUGCAACUGAAAAUUGAGGACAUUCCAAAACAUCUCUCCUCGAAACAGUUACAGAACCUCACACACACACUUGGGUAAACGCUUCUUCCCUGCAGCCUGGGUAGCUGACUAGCGGCUGCAAGCCACUGUCGGCGUUGGGCGUCGAUGCGUAUUCAUCCCACUGCGAGUUUGACACGCUCUUCCGGUCUUCCCUGUCCUCUCAUACUAACUUUCCUAUCAAUAAAAUAUGUAAUGGAAUAAAAUCUCCACACACUCAGGAUCAAUGCACACAUUUCAUUGCAUUUUGCACACACUGUAUAUAGACUUUCUUUUUUUCUACUGUGUCAUUGCCUU